UCUCGGUUAGUAUAGUGGUUAGUAUUUUCGCCUGUCAGCACGCGGGGGACCGGGGUUCAAUUCCCCGACCGAGA